CUGGCCUCCACAGGUGUGAAUCCCAAUUAGGAAAUCAGGAGACUCAGUUUGACCCUCACCAGCCACCAUACACCACAGCUAGUUAGCUAGUAGCUGCUGGUGUGCUCAGUGUAGCUGCACUACUGCUCUUAUUUUGUAGUUUCUCUCUAAUAGUGGUGUUUCUGCAACAACACAGUCUUGUUUAUAUGAUGAUGUGCUUGUAAAAGACAAAGCAGACAUGAUUUGAAGGAUUAUUGCUUGGAAAAACAUCAACCAGCACCUGACUAUGGAACAGAUUGUUUACCCCUCUACUCAGGGGGAGAGCCUGGGGAGAGGCUUGCAUCCAGAUUGUCCUCCAAAGAUGUACUCCUGGUUACAAUCUCAGACAUCACCUCCUGACUCAUAAAAAGGAAUCUUCUGGGGGG